GACUGAUGGCAAAGACAGCGUAUGAUCACAGAGAUUAUGCAAGAGUCAACAAACUGCUUCACAUGGAAAAGAAAGUUCGACUUACUACAAACUCUUUGCAUUCAAUGGCGAGAGCUAUUGGUAUGCAGGUGUCUGCAUGUACCAUGUUGUUUAUACUUAUGUUGGUGACGUAUGCAUGUGUAUAGGAUUAAUGUAUUGCAAGGGAAGGCCUGGGGCUAUCAUAAGCUUCUAGGGAUGCUUUCCAUUAUGCACUGGCGAUAAAGCCUAUUAUGACAUUUAGAGAACAUAAAUUCUUUAUAACAUCGGUUUGUGUCAGCAGCGCCUGUCACUGUUUAGCAAAGCUGAGAAGAGAUUUACUCAAACACUGAAACUUGUUGAAUCUCUGAAACAGACAAAGCUUGAAGAUCAUCAGAUUUCAUACAUCAAAGAUCUCAUUGCACUGGCUCAGUUGCUGAAACAUUCAAGAUUUAUAUGUCUACCUUUCCUUUCAGUUAAUCAUCUUAUUGAACUGGUUCAGUUGCUGACACAUUAAUUGGAGGUAUGGGACAUGCAGAAUAGAAGUAUAGCGAUGCAAUGAAAUAGAGCUGCAAGUUUUGGAAACUGUUUUCACAGAUAGUAAUCGUUCUUUUUAUGUAUGGUCAUUCAUAUUACUGUCUCUAGUACAGUUAUAUUAGCAAUGCUCAUGUAAUCAAGAAUUUCUAAACUUUAUUGCUAAC